rnacentral:rRNA from 1 species
AUUGAACGCUGGCGGAAUGCUUUACACAUGCAAGUCGAACGGCAGCACGGACUUCGGUCUGGUGGCGAGUGGCGAACGGGUGAGUAAUGUAUCGGAACGUGCCCAGUCGUGGGGGAUAACGUAGUGAAAAUUACGCUAAUACCGCAUGCGAUCUAUGGAUGAAAGCGGGGGAUCGCAAGACCUCGCGCGAUUGGAGCGGCCGAUAUCAGAUUAGGUAGUUGGUGGGGUAAAGGCCCACCAAGCCAACGAUCUGUAGCUGGUCUGAGAGGACGACCAGCCACACUGGAACUGAGACACGGUCCAGACUCCUAAGGGAGGCAGCAGUGGGGAAUUUUGGACAAUGGGCGAAAGCCUGAUCCAGCCAUUCCGCGUGCAGGAUGAAGGCCCUCGGGUUGUAAACUGCUUUUGUACAGAACGAAAAGGUUUCUACUAAUACUAGGAGCUCAUGACGGUACUGUAAGAAUAAGCACCGGCUAACUACGUGCCAGCAGCCGCGGUAA